CAUCGCGAAGGCCCACGGCGGGUGUUGACGUGAUGUGAUUUCUGCCCAGUGCUCUGAAUGUCAAACUGAAGAAAUUCAUGACGCGCAUGAAUGGAUGAACGGGAUUCCCACUGUCACUACCUACUAUCCAGCAAAACCACAGCCAAGGGAACGGGCUUGGUGGAAUCAGCGGGGAAAGAAGACCCUGUUGAGUUUGACUCUAGUCUGGCAUGGUGAAGAGACACGAGAGGUGUAGAAUAAGUGGGAGGCCCCCAGCGCCCCCCCAUCCCCGCGAGGGGGCAGGGCGGGGUCCGUCGGCCUUGCGGGCCGCCGGUGAACUACCACUACUCUGAUCACCAAAAUAGCAUGGUACUGGUACCAAAACAGAGAUAUAGAUCAAUGGAA
rnacentral:lncRNA from 10 species